rnacentral:rRNA from 1 species
GACAGAGGGUGCGAACGUUGUUCGGAAUUACUGGGCGUAAAGCGCAUGUAGGCGGCAGCGCAAGUCGGGCGUGAAAUCCCACGGCUCAACCGUGGAAGUGCACUCGAAACUGCGCAGCUAGAGUCCUGGAGAGGAAGGUGGAAUGCUUGGUGUAGAGGUGAAAUUCGUAGAUAUCAAGCGGAACACCGGUGGCGAAGGCGGCCUCUGGACAGUGACUGACGCUGAGAUGCGAAAGCGUGGGGAGCAACAGGAUAAGAAACCCUUGGU